CAGCAGCCGCCACGGUAAUACGUAGGUGGCAAGCGUUGCCCGGAAUUAUUGGGCGUAAAGGGCUCGCAGGCGGUUUCUUAAGUCUGAUGUGAAAGCCCCCGGCUCAACCGGGGAGGGUCAUUGGAAACUGGGAAACUUGAGUGCAGAAGAGGAGAGUGGAAUUCCACGUGUAGCGGUGAAAUGCGUAGAGAUGUGGAGGAACACCAGUGGCGAAGGCGACUCUCUGGUCUGUAACUGACGCUGAGGAGCGAAAGCGUGGGGAGCGAACAGGAUUAGAUACCCCUGUAGUCCCUGUCUCUUAUAC
rnacentral:rRNA from 1 species